rnacentral:rRNA from 1 species
UACGAAGGGGGCGAGCGUUGUUCGGAUUCAUUGGGCGUAAAGGGCGCGUAGGCGGCGAGGUAAGUCGGGUGUGAAAUCUCAGAGCUCAACUCUGAAACUGCACUCGAUACUGCUUUGCUAGAGGACUGGAGAGGAGAUUGGAAUUCACGGUGUAGCAGUGAAAUGCGUAGAGAUCGUGAGGAAGACCAGUGGCGAAGGCGGAUCUCUGGACAGUUCCUGACGCUGAGGCGCGAAGGCCAGGGGAGCAAACGGG